CUCAGAAACCAUCCACCUCACUGCAUUUUGUCAUCUGCCCGAAAUCCUCCAGAUCCUCAGGGAGGUUGGCCCCAAUCAAACCUGAGGAGACGGUUUCUCUUUGAUGGCUCCUGUCAAAUCCUGUGAGGACAGAUGAGGCGCAAACAGCUGAGACUCCAAAAUAAUAACACCUAGACAGAAAAGACUUCAAGACAACCUGAUUUUAUAUUCCAGUGGUAAUUGCCGUGGUCACAAAGCUUCUUCAGAUUUUUUCUGAUCUAGACUAUAACUGGGAUUCUGAGCUAUCCCAGAGAAGAUGCUAUCUACCUAGUGAGCUAAAGAGUUGCAAUUUGUGUAAAGGCUGGUUUGCUUGUGGCUACGGACAUGAUUUGUGGAAUACAGAUGAGUCAAUUUAUUGUAAAAUAGCAUAUUAUGCCUCUCUAUAUCUGCUUCUGAUAGUGGUAAUGAGGGAUAUUUUUCUGAUGGAUGUGCCAUGCCCCUCUGAACUAUGUAUAACCAAUAAAACAUUGUGUUAAUGUCAACACUUGA